rnacentral:rRNA from 1 species
GGGCAUGGCGGCAGGCUACACAUGCAGUCGAGCGGCAGCGGAAGUACCUUGCUACUUUGGCGGCGAGCGGCGGACGGGUGAGUAGUGUCUGGGAAACUGCCUGAUGGAGGGGGAUAACUACUGGAAACGGUAUCUAAUACCGCAUAACGUCACAAGACCAAAGAGGGAGACCUUCGGGCCUCUUGCCAUCAUAUGUGCCCAUAUGGUAUUAUCUAGUAUGUGGGGUAACGGCUCACCUACGCCACGAUCCCUAUCUGGUCUGAGAAGAUGACCAGCCACACUGGAACUGACACACGGUCCACACUCCUACGGGAGGCAGCAGUGGAGAAUAUUGCACAGUGGGCGCAAGCCUGAUGCACCCAUGCCGCGUGUAUGAAGAAGGCCUUCGGGUUGUAAAGU